AAUCAACGCUGGCGGCGUGCCUCAGACAUGCAAGUCGAACGAUUAAAGCUCUCUUCGGAGAGUGCAUAGAGUGGCGCACGGGUGAGUAACACGUAAGUAAUCUACCCUCGAGUGGGGAAUAACGUCCGGAAACGGGCGCUAAUACCGCAUAAUGCAGCGGCAUCACAAGAUGACAGUUGUUAAAGAUUUAUCGCUUGGGGAGGAGCUUGCGGCAGAUUAGCUAGUUGGUAAGGUAACGGCUUACCAAGGCUACGAUCUGUAACCGGUCUUAGAGGACGGUCGGUCACACUGACACUGAAUCACGGUUCGGGCUCCUACGGGAGGCAGCAGUCGGUAAUUUUGGGCAAUGGCCGAAAGCCUGACCCAGCAACGCCGCGUGAAGGAUGAAGUAUUUCGGUAUGUAAACUUCGAAAGAAUAGGAAGAAUUAAUGACGGUACUAUUUAUAAGGUCCGGCUAACUACGUGCCAGCAGCCGCGGUAA
rnacentral:rRNA from 1 species